AUGGAUUGGAGUUCAUCCUCAUCGUCUUCGUCUGAUGACUUGGACAUAGAAGAGAUGUUCGUCAGCGACAAUGUCGACAACCUAGUGUUGGUGCAUCUCGUGAACGAAAUUGAGGCGGGCCUGAAGAAAAAGCGGCGCGGAUCCAUGGUCGGCCGGCUAUGCAUUCCCCGCAACCGAGCUCUCGACGACAAGAUGCUCAUGAAGGACUACUUCGCCGAGGUACCGACAUAUCCGGUCACCUCUUUUGUAGGUGAUAUCGAAUGCGUAGGUCCCUAUUCGUGCGCAUCAUUGAAGCUUGGGAGCAAAAUUGUCAUAUUUUCACUCGGCAUAGGAAUGUCGCCGGUUUUUUUGGCUUUAGUGCAUAUCAAAAAAUAUCGGCAACGACGAGAGUGA
rnacentral:rRNA from 1 species